GAUGAACGCUGGCGGCGUGCCUAAUACAUGCAAGUCGAGCGAACAGACGAGGAGCUUGCUCCUCUGACGUUAGCGGCGGACGGGUGAGUAACACGUGGAUAACCUACCUAUAAGACUGGGAUAACUUCGGGAAACCGGAGCUAAUACCGGAUAAUAUAUUGAACCGCAUGGUUCAACAGUGAAAGACGGUUUUGCUGUCACUUAUAGAUGGAUCCGCGCCGCAUUAGCUAGUUGGUAAGGUAACGGCUUACCAAGGCAACGAUGCGUAGCCGACCUGAGAGGGUGAUCGGCCACACUGGAACUGAGACACGGUCCAGACUCCUACGGGAGGCAGCAGUAGGGAAUCUUCCGCAAUGGGCGAAAGCUUGACGGAGCAACGCCGCGUGAGUGAUGAAGGUCUUCGGAUCGUAAAACUCUGUUAUUAGGGAGGAACAAAUGUGUAAGUAACUAUGCACGUCUUGACGGUACCUAAUCAGAAAGCCACGGCUAACUACGUG
rnacentral:rRNA from 1 species